rnacentral:misc_RNA from 1 species
AAGUCGUAACAAGGUUUCCGUAGGUGAACCUGCGGAAGGAUCAUUAUUGUAUAAUCGAGGUGCUGAGGUUGUCGCUGACUUUUGAAAGGGUCGUGCACGCCUCGGUGCUCUCACAUAUAAUCCAUCUCACCCCUUUGUGCAUCACCGCGUUGGGGCCCCUUUUGGCUAGUUCUAAGGGGGGCUUUCACGUUUUUACACAUACACCAUUUUAAUGCAAUGCGUAGAAUGUCAUACUUUUUGCGAUCACACGCAAUUAAUACAACUUUCAACAACGGAUCUCUUGGCUCUC